rnacentral:rRNA from 1 species
AGUCAAUGUGUGCGGUCAGCUGCGGUAAGACAGAGUGGGCAAGCGUUAAUUGGAAUUGCUGGGGGGAAAGCGCGCUUGGGUGGUUCGUGAAGUUGGGUGUGAUAGCCUCGGGCUCAACCUGGGAACUGCAUCCAAAACUGGCGAGCUAGAGUAGGGCAGAGGGUGGUGGAAUUUCCUGGGUAGCGGUGAAAUGCGUAGAUAUAGGAAGGAACACCAGUGGCGAAGGCGACCACCUGGGCUCAUACUGACACUGAGGUGCGAAAGCGUGGGGAGCAAACAGGAUUAGAUACCCGUGUAGUC